AGACCCAGAUCAGCUUAGGCAUAAGCAACAAGACCCCAAACAGAGGCAAGGAUGUGUCAGCUUUCCCUUGAGUCAGGUGGACCAGAGGGAGGAUCAGGCCUGGGAUCAUGUUGAGAGGGUUCUCUUUAGGAGGUCUGCUUGGAGAUUGAGCCAAAUGCUACAAGGGAAUCUACUACUGGAGGUGCAGGGCUUAAGGGAGGGGACAGAAAGUGGCAAUUGAAGGAAGCACCACCAGGAUGGUGGGAGCUGCAGUGGGAGAUUCCUGGUGGGGUGAGUUUGGGACACUCUUCAAGAAACCCACAAAAUUUCCAGAGACAAUCGGUCUUGAGCAUCCACCAAAUCCAAAUGACACAAUGCCAGAUCAUGACGCAAGACUGUGCCAGUUUCUCCUAAUCUCCUUUGCCCCUGGAGCACCACUCUGAAAGGGUCAGAAACUACAGCCAGCCAAUGGCCAGAGCUUCAGCGCUAGCACCUGUGUUAUCAAGAGAAGCUGAGUCCAGAACACGUGAUGGGAAGCAUGUGGGAACAUUGUGAUGACAUUGGACCCACCCAGAUGAUCCCAGAUAGUCUCACCAUCUCAAGGUCAGCUGAUUAUCAACCUUAAUUCAGUCUGGAACCUCAAGUCUCCCAUUGCCAUGUGACAUAACAUAGUCACAGGUUCCAAGGAUUAGGAUGUAGAUAUCUUUGGGGGGCUAUUAUUCUCCCUAUCACAAAAGGGAACACCAGAGUCUUCAGUUUAGCAAUCUUCAAGGAAUGUUGACAAAGCAAGAAUCUGAGGCUUUGAGAAUGUAGGUAAUUUUCCCGAAGACAUUCUGCAAGUAGGAGAUAGAGCUGGAACAUGACCAGAUCUGUCUGCCAAGUAAGCCCAGGCUCAUCCUCCACACGCUGCCCCCAUCAGGAGGCAACCUGGCCCCUUCUACUGAAUCUCUACAUCAGAUGGAGCCUGCAUAUGACUCAGCAGAAACCUCAGAGGAAAUUCUGCUUCCUUCAGGAAUUUCAGGGCAUGGUGGUGAUUGGAAAGAGUCAGGACAGUUGGCCUUUACUUCAUAUUGCAUCACAACCACUAAGUGGCUUUGGGAAGUUUGCUAAAACUUUCAGGUUCUAAGGAUCCUCGGCUGUGAAACCAGGAACUUGGACUAGAUGGUGUCUAAGACAUCUUUCAGUUCUAAAAUUCUAUAAUUGAAUGGUCUUAUGGGUAAAACCACUUUGCUGCAGAACAGUGCCACUCAGAGCAUAGUUUGUCGACCUCUGUCAGUCCAGAGUAUUCGGUACCUGUCCAUGACAAGAUAAGGAGCUUAAGCCAAAAUGUUAACCAACUACAUCAGUAAGUGCACUGUUCAGUACUGCUGCCAUUUGAUUUUUUGUAGCAAGGCUUUCGUGGUGAAGGAAGCAGUGUGUUGAUUUACUUCCUGGCAUAAUCUUCUUAUCUCAUUGCAGAUUGUUAGCAAAUAGUUCCUGGAUGAGAUUCUGAAUAAUGCUGAUGUAGAAAAAACAUUAAAGUUCAGAGGUGAAUAUGUGCUUAAUAUCUGAAAAUUUUUAGAGAAUGACAGCUGGUUGUUCUUGCCUCACAGAAAGGAAUAGUAUCCAGUAAGUAUUUGUAAAAAUACAAAUGAUGAAACUAUCUUUGGGAUCUGUGAUAGACUGCAGUAUUUCUUCCAGAUUAUUUACACUCUCCCUGCAAGAAAAUUAUACAUCCAGGUCUACUGCCAUGGGCCUUCCUGUGGAAUACAUUUCUUCCCACUAUUGACAUCAGACUUGGGUCCAGGGACUUGCCUUGGUUAAUGGAAUGUGAGCAGAUGGCUUAUACCAUGUCUCAGCAGAAGUUUUGGAAGUCAUUCACGCCUGUAAUCCCAGCACUUUGGGAGGCCAAGGCGGGCAGAUCACUUGAGGUCAGGAGUUCAAGACCAGCCUGGCCAACACGGUGAAACCCUCUCUCUACUAAAAAUACAAAAA
ensembl:lncRNA novel transcript